AAACUGGGCAGGCCAGAAUGAUUUCAAAGCUCCACGUCUCGUUUACAAGCAGUCAAGAGAAGUGAGUAUAGACAGACCCCCUGUAUCGUGAGCUGGCGGUCUUCAUGCAUUUACAGACUGUUGUCCCAACCUAUACAAAACGGAUGUUCUCUUGAAUUUGAGUAAAUGCUGCCGCUGCUAAUAAACCAAAUGUUUUCAAGCAUAUUUUUUUCUUUUACUACCUUUACGGCUGUAAUGAAUACAUUUUACGCCUAAAUAACUGAAAUGAAAACAAUCACAAACUUGGCUAUUCUUUUUUGCAUCAGCUAUUUAGGUCUAACAUUUGUUCAAUGCAAUCGUUAAAUAUACACAGGUUCCAAACAGCGCUUUGAAUGUAGCCAACAUCUCCAACUAAAUGAAAUAGCAAAAAAUAAAUAUUUUCAACACAGCACAAAGGACCAACAUUUCCAGAUGUAGGCUAAUAAAUCUGCAGACAUUAUGUAACAAUAAUUGUAUUGGG